UUUGUGUGGAUACCCUGGUCAGUCACUUUCUCCAGGUUCUGUCCAAGUGGCGUAGGGCACGUAGUGCCUCAUACGACGUGAUACAGUCCUUUUGCAGUGUGUCGGUCAGCACUGUGGAUUCCUCCAGCCUCUCUGGGCUCUGCAGGACAGUGAUGGAGAAGACGGAUCAUGUAUAAAACAUGU
rnacentral:snoRNA from 1 species